UUUUAAUUAAAAUAAGUGAGACAAAAAGAAGAAUAUAAUGUAAUUAUUUAAUUCAAAAUACAUUUUACUACUGUCAGUAAACAGAAAAAAAUUUUAUUUGACAAAUAAACAUUGAUUUUCGCUUAAACGAAAUGUUCAAACUGCCAAGCGACAGGUGGGUGGCAGCUUUAACAUUGAAUUUAAGCAAAAAACAAUAUUUAUUUCUCAAAUAAACAUUUUUUUCCUGUUUUCGGACAACAGUAAAACGUAUUUUGAAUUAAAUAAAUUACGUACAUUCUUCUUUUUGUUUCAAUUAUUUUAAUUAAAAAAAUGUUUUUUGAACACCUUGUAUAAAUAAUUAGGUAAAUGUUUAUAUUAGUGAAUAGAGAAUUGAAUACCCUUUCAAAUGAGCUAUCACAUGACCAUUCUCAUUUAAAAAAAUCAUCGAUUACGUCAUCGCGCCCAGAUGGAUGACGUCACUAGUAUGAUAUAUAUGCCAAAAAAUCUGAAUCUAAAAAUAAAAAUCGACCCGUUUCAGGAUUUUUCAUUAAUGUCGCUGGUUUACGAAAUAAUGAAUUUAUGCGUUACUUUAUGGACGCACUGUAUAUGCAAUCUUAAGAUUCGAUUUUAGCAAUAAAAUAGCUGGUAAAUAAUUUUUCCCAAAAAUGGCAUUUUUUCGAUAAUUUUCCCAGACUAUCAACAAGUUCCAAUAAACGGGAGCGCCAACCCAAAUUCUGAGCAGUCUCAACAUGAUAAGAUUAAUAUCCCCAGUUGUAACUAAUAUCGAAAUGAAUAAGAAUCGCUAUUUUCUGCGGCUGUCAUGGCGGUGUCGAAAUGAAAUUGCGACUGUCGAAAUGAAUUAGAAUCAGGGCCCUGGGCCCUGAUUCUAAUUUAGGUCUGUUCCUUUGUUUUUUAGUGUUACACUUUUGAGUGUAAGUGUACGAAAUUCUAUGAACAUUUGAGUGUAAAAUGACAGCGGAUGUGACAGCGGCUCAUGACAGCGGACAGUAUUAAACGAAAAUUAUCGGUGUGCCAAUCAAGCAAAGGGACAAGGAACUUCCGAAUAUGGCCUAACUGGGGGCACAUAACAUAACAUAACCUAAUUAAUCCUAAUAUUUACAUUUGUAAAGAAUAUCCUGUUUGUUUUUAUUGUCGAUUGUGCAGCAAAUCAAAUAUAAAGUAGUUUAUCGCCUACAGAACUGAAUUAGUCCAUAGCAGUUAUCAGUUUUUCUUUCUUGGGAAGCUUAUACAUGUAACUUGUAUUGUUGUAAAUUGUGGGAGUAGGGCAGACAGGGAAAAGUCUUAUUUUGUACUGUUCCCAAGGCUCCCCAUGCAAUACAUUUAAAUGAAUUAUCCAAACAAAGCUGGGGACAAUGGAUAAAAGCCACAAGAAGAACAGAUAUAAGGGAACUAAAAUUAAAAUAUGAAAAGUAAACAUUUUGUAAGUGGAACAACCACUGGAUAUUUAAAAGGUAUAAAAAGAAGAAACUGCUGGAAUUUCAAAACAAAUGUGUUUGACUAGUAAAGAUUUGGAUAAAUAACAGGAGUUACUUUGGGCUAUAGCUAAGUGCAGAUUUAUUUCCUUGUGGCUUCCUAUGUUAAUUCUUAUUAAUUAUACACUUAAAUAUGUUUUUAGUCUCAGGAAGAUUUUAUAUUUGAUUAUUUUUGAAUAAACAUUAUUAUUAUUAUUACCUUAAUUUCCAUUAAAUAAAUUAACUGUAAUCAAUAAAGUAAUCGUUUAAUUGUUAAUAAAUUAUCAAGUAUGA